rnacentral:rRNA from 1 species
UACGAAGGGGGCUAGCGUUGCUCGGAAUCACUGGGCGUAAAGGGUGCGUAGGCGGGUUUCUAAGUCAGAGGUGAAAGCCUGGAGCUCAACUCCAGAACUGCCUUUGAUACUGGAAGUCUUGAGUCCGGGAGAGGUGAGUGGAACUGCGAGUGUAGAGGUGAAAUUCGUAGAUAUUCGCAAGAACACCAGUGGCGAAGGCGGCUCACUGGCCCGAUACUGACGCUGAGGUGCGAAAGCGUGGGGAGCAAACAGG